GCCAGAGCCGUAUCUCCCUGGAGCUCUCGCCCGGUGUCCCACUGAAGAUAAGCAGGGUUGAGUGUGGUCAUUACCUGGAUGGGAGACCUCUUGGGGAAACUAAGGCUGCUGCUGGAA
rnacentral:rRNA from 1 species